UACGUAGGAGGCGAACGUUAUCCGGAUUUACUGGGCGUAAAGGGAGCGUAGGCGGUAUGUUAAGUCGGGUGUGAAAUCUCUUGACUCAAUCAAGAGGGUGCAUCCGAUACUGGCAAACUUGAGGGCGGCAGAAGGAAACGGAAUUCCGAGUGUAGCGGUGAAAUGCGUUGAUAUUCGGAGGAACACCAGUGGCGAAAGCGGUUUCCUAGGCUGUUCCUGACGCUGAGGCUCGAAAGCGUGGGGAGCGAAGCGGAUUAGAUACCCCCGUA
rnacentral:rRNA from 1 species